CUGGAUGCUGUACUUGGGUGGUUAUAGAACUGUUCAGCGUGCCUCAGAAAGAGGUAGACCAACAUGAAUAUGACAAGAAACGGAGAAAGCAGGAGCAUCAAUACUCCAACUACCGUAAGCCUUUUCUUUAAUGUUCUAGGGUUGGAUAUGAACUCCUUUCUGACACAGUAAUUACGAUCAAACAUGCUCUGUAGUAUGCACCAAUUCAAG
rnacentral:misc_RNA from 1 species